rnacentral:rRNA from 1 species
AUUGAACGCUGGCGGCAGGCCUAAAACAUGCAAGUCGAACGAGUGGCGGACGGGUGAGUAAUGUCUGGGAAACUGCCUGAUGGAGGGGGAUAACUACUGGAAACGGUAGCUAAUACCGCAUACCAUCAGAUGUGCCCAGAUGGGACUAGCUUGUUGGUGGGGUAACGGCUCACCAAGGCAACGAUCCCUAGCGGGUCUGAGAGGAUGACCGGCCACACUGGAACUGAGACACGGUCCAGACUCCUACGGGAGGCAGCAGUGGGGAAUAUUGCACAAUGGGCGAAAGCCUGAUGCAGCAAUGCCGCGUGUAUGAUGAAGGCCUUCGGGUUGUAAAGUACUUUCAUCAGGGAUGCGUUACCCGCAGAAGAAGCACCGGCUAACUCCGUGCCAGCAGCCGCGGUAAUUC